AAUGAACGUUGGCGGCAUGGAUUAGGCAUGCAAGUCGAGCGAGAAGGGUUUUGAAGCUUGCUUUAGAACCCGGACAGCGGCGAGAGGGAGAGUAACGCGUAGUUAUGUGCCCUAGGGUCCGGAAUAGCCAUGGGAAACUGUGGGUAAUGCCGGAUAACAUCCCCGGAUCAAAGGUGUGAUUCCGCCCUAGGAGAAGACUGCGUCCUACUAGCUAGUUGGUGGGGUAAUGGCCGACCAAGGCAAUGAUGGGUAGCGGGUGUGAGAGCAUGACCCGUCUCACUGGGACUGAGACACUGCCCAGACACCUACGGGUGGCUGCAGUCGAGAAUCUUCGGCAAUGGGCGAAAGCCUGACCGAGCGAUGCGGCGUGCGGGAUGAAGGCCCUCGGGUUGUAAACCGCUGUCGUAGGGGAGGAAGGUUCCGUGAAGAGCGGGACUUGACCUAUCCUAGGAGGAAGUACGGGCUAAGUUCGUGCCAGCAGCCGCCGUAAAAC
rnacentral:rRNA from 1 species